rnacentral:lncRNA from 1 species
GACGAAGCUGUAUUUAGGUUACUGUGUUAAAUUUUAAAUUACCCUUACAGUUUUGGUUUUGUUUAUACAACAUGUGAAUUUUUUAUUUCAGUGUUAACCAUGUUUUGAAGAGCAUUCUGUUGAAAAAUCUUAUAUGUGAAUUGGUCUGCAGAUGACACUUCAGCAUCAAAGUAUGUAUCAACUAUCAUCAUGUUUUUUUGUGUUUUGGCCGCAAAAGUUUACAAUUUGCCAUUGUGCCGUCUACAUUUUGCACAGACAAUAACUCAUCUAAACACUUAUUUGUCCUGGAUUUAUACACAUCAGAAUCCAGUCUCACAUACUUAAACUUUAUAAUUCUUACCAAUUAUUUUUUUGUACCAGCAUUCCAAGGGACAUAACCCUUUUUAAAACAUUUUGAGGUAUUUUUUGUAUUACUCUUUCUCCCCAUUUCUUAAUGUAAAAUACAAGAAAAGUGGACUUUUUGUGUAAAUCUAUUAGAAAUAUACUGUUAUGAGUAAAUAAAAAGACUUUGAUACCAGUAGCAAUAAAUGAUUCACUGAAAGGGAACGGUUAUUUGUCACACUAGGGGAACAGACCAAAAACUCAAGUUACACAUAAGGGCUUAUAGAAACUUCCGUGUAGACUGUUAACAUUUAUAGAGACAGUACUUUCAGCUAAAACACUUUAAUUAUUGAUUAAACUUAACAUUUAUUUCAUUUUUGUGGGAAAAUAAUCACAUUUCUUUUAUUUUUUAGACAAAAGAUAUCAAGUUUUGAAGAAAAAGGAAGGAGAAGGAAAAAUGGACCAACAUAGACCAAAACAAAC